AUUCCUGUACCGAUUCUAGAUGCGAUGUGGGGACGGAGAAGGUUAGGUCAGCCGGGUGUUGGACGUCCCGGUUUAAGCGUGUAGGCGUGCCCCUUAGGCAAAUCCGGAGGGCUGAGCUGAGGCGUGAUGACGAGGAACCACGGUUCCGAAGUGAUUGAUACCAAGCUUCCAGGAAAAGCCACUAAGCUUCAGUCUAGAGUUGACCGUACCGCAAACCGACACAGGUGGGCAGGAUGAAAAUUCUAAGGCGCUUGAGAGAACUCAGGAGAAGGAACUCGGCAAAUUAACACCGUAACUUCGGGAGAAGGUGUGCCCCGGUAGCGUGUAGAGACUUGCUCUCGAAGCGCGAUGGGGUUGCAGUGAAAUGGUGGCUGCGACUGUUUAAUAAAAACACAGCACUCUGCAAACACGAAAGUGGACGUAUAGGGUGUGACGCCUGCCCGGUGCCGGAAGGUUAAGUGAUGGGGUGCAAGCUCUUGAUCGAAGCCCCGGUAAACGGCGGCCGUAACAAUAACGGUCCUAAGGUAGCGAAAUUCCUUGUCGGGUAAGUUCCGACCUGCACGAAUGGCGUAACGAUGGCCACACUGUCUCCUCCUGGGACUCAGCGAAGUUGAAAUGUUUGUGAAGAUGCAAUCUACCCGCGGCUAGACGGAAAGACCCCAUGAACCUUUACUGUAGCUUUGCAUUGGACUUUGAACCGGUUUGUGUAGGAUAGGUGGGAGACUGUGAAGCCGGGACGCUAGUUUCGGUGGAGUCAACCUUGAAAUACCACCCUGAUUUGUUUGAGGUUCUAACCUUGGUCCGUGAAUCCGGAUCGGGGACCGUGCAUGGUAGGCAGUUUGACUGGGGCGGUCUCCUCCCGAAAGGUAACGGAGGAGUACGAAGGUACGCUUAGGGCGGUCGGACAUCGCCCACAAAGUGCAAUGGCAAAAGCGUGCUUGACUGCGAGACCCACAAGUCGAGCAGGUACGAAAGUAGGUCAUAGUGAUCCGGUGGUUCUGUAUGGAAGGGCCAUCGCUCAACGGAUAAAAGGUACUCUGGGGAUAACAGGCUAAUUCCUCCCAAGAGUUCAUAUCGACGGGGGAGUUUGGCACCUCGAUGUCGGCUCAUCACAUCCUGGGGCUGUAGUCGGUCCCAAGGGUAUGGCUGUCCGCCAUUUAAAGUGGUACGCGAGCUGGGUUUAAAACGUCGUGAGACAGUUUGGUCCCUAUCUGCCGUGGGCGCUGGAAAUUUGAAGGGGGCUGCUCCUAGUACGAGAGGACCGGAGUGGACGAACCUCUGGUGUACCGGUUAUGACGCCAGUCGUAUCGCCGGGUAGCUAAGUUCGGAAGAGGUAAACGCUGAAAGCAUCUAAGCGUGAAACUCGCCUUAAGAUAAGAUUUCCCGGAGUCUUGAACUCCCUGAAGGGUCGUCGAAGACCACGACGUUGAUAGGUCAGGUGUGGAAGCGCAGCAAUGCGUUAAGCUAACUGAUACUAAUUGCCCGUGCGGCUUGAUCCU
rnacentral:rRNA from 1 species